rnacentral:rRNA from 1 species
AUUGAACGCUGGCGGCAUGCUUUACACAUGCAAGUCGAACGGUAACAGGUCUUCGGAUGCUGACGAGUGGCGAACGGGUGAGUAAUGCAUCGGAACGUGCCCAGUCGUGGGGGGAUAACGCAGCGAAAGCUGUGCUAAUACCGCAUACGAUCUAUGGAUGAAAGCGGGGGAUCGCAAGACCUCGCGCGAUUGGAGCGGCCGAUGUCAGAUUAGCUAGUUGGUGGGGUAAAGGCCCACCAAGGCGACGAUCUGUAGCUGGUCUGAGAGGACGACCAGCCACACUGGGACUGAGACACGGCCCAGACUCCUACGGGAGGCAGCAGUGGGGAAUUUUGGGACAAUGGGCGCAAGCCUGAUCCAGCAAUGCCGCGUGCAGGAAGAAGGCCUUCGGGUUGUAACUGCUUUGUACGGUAACGAAAAGGUACUGGGUUAA